AAUGCCCUAGCUAUGCGUGCAGCCUCCGCCUCCCGGUGUGGAGAAGGCGGUGACAGCGCCGCGCCGGAGCCGCAGGGCGGGACUGGGCGGAGGGCGAGGGACCGGAGCUGCCAGGCCAGGCUGCCCGCCUGCCGCAGAGCAGCGCGCAGCUCGGGGAGGGGGUGGUUGCCAUGCAAAUGACGCGGCGUCCUGCGGGCCCCCCUUACCCGGGGGCCCUCUGGUUGCCAAAACAGAGCAUUCCCCAGAACAGUCGCCUGGAAACGGGCGCUGUCAUAGCAGCCUCUCAGUAGCAGCGAGCCAGCUGUGCCGCCACGAGGAGCUGGGUCAGGAUGUUCAGACCUCCUCAGCACCCCCUCCUCACCCAGUCUCCACCUCGGGGAAGGGAGUGGCGGCGGGGGCCACCGUGGAGGGUUGGGAGGGCACUAAUUGGAUUGGAACACUCCUGAAGUGCAUCAGCUGCUCCUCCCUGAGGGAGCAGGAGGAGGAAAGCGGCAGACCGUCUUUGUGAUCAGCUCAGCCUCUCCCUCUCUGCAGCCUCGCCCUGACCUGGUCCUUACCGGCCUCUGCCCACCCACCGCUGUUUUGGGCACAAUGGCAAGCUCUUUCUAAAAUGGAGGAGGCAGAACACUGAAUCAGAUAGUCACCAAAAUGAAAUCCAGCCUUGAUGUGAAGGGUACGGUGGCGAUGCUACCCGGAUCUGACCUGGUUUGAAAGGGUUAGGGAAGAAUGCAGGUUUGCCACAGCUCCCGUCAGCACUCUAGCUACUGCAUCCCAUACACCCGCCCCCAUCUUUCCAGCACCUUUGCUCAUCAGCUCAGCCAUGCCACCCUGAUCUUCCCUAAACCUGGGACCAUUUACUUUGUCCUGCUUCAUUCGGCACCAAGAGAGCUGCCUCAUCAUUUAAGCGUGUGUGUGCUUACCAGUUAAACUACAAUAUAAACUUUAAGAGGCAGGGCCCUGUGUUAUUGUCAUGGCCAACCUUGACCAUGAAGAACAAGACAGAGUUUCACAGACCUGCUUGAAUUUAGGUGCCCGUGAUUUAUGUCAACAUAGUCAUCACCCUGGGAGGCCUUUGGUGUUGCCUUUGCAACAACUGUUUUAGAUUGGCCUUUAGAGACUAGUCAAACCUCUUCUGGGACUAGGGAGGGGAGGAGAUUCAGUGAUAGCCUGAGUGACAGUAAGCCAACAGGUGGGCUACAGAGAAAGUGGAUGACUACUCAGGACAUACUGAGCAUUUCAUGUGGUCCGGAUGCUGCACACUAGCACUUAGAGGGGUGACUUAAGCAUGUGUGUGCAAGGGAGUCCCCUUUCUUUAAAUUCCUAAGGGGCCUUGGGCGUCUUAUGUAUCCACACAGCAAGUCCUCAUUCAACAGGGCUAGAGAUGGUGUAUCCCUGUGUUUCCCAGACUAAUCUAGAAUCCCUGGGCUCAAGCGGUCCUCCCACCUUGGCCUCCCAAGUGCAGAGAUUACAGAUUCCCAGAGGCACUGACUGUCCCCUGGCUGGCAUGUGCUCUGCAGCUAUUUUUCACAUGGCACAACCCAUCACCCAGCAUACUGUCAACUCCACGGUGUCUUGGGAUUGCAAGUUAUGUGAUUUUUGCCAACCCCCUUUCCCACAGCUUUACAAGAAGUAGGAUUUUAUGAUAUGCCUGUGGAAAAUGAGAAACAUAUUGUUUCUUUUCAUGUUGAUGACUUUCUCCAUAAUAAAAUUAUGAGCAUUUGCAGCCAUA